rnacentral:rRNA from 1 species
UACAGAGGGUGCGAGCGUUAAUCGGAAUUACUGGGCGUAAAGCGCUCGUAGGCGGUCUGUCGCGUCUGCUGUGAAAACUCGGGGCUUAACCCCGGGCCUGCAGUGGGUACGGGCAGACUAGAGUGCGGUAGGGGAGACUGGAAUUCCUGGUGUAGCGGUGAAAUGCGCAGAUAUCAGGAGGAACACCGGUGGCGAAGGCGGGUCUCUGGGCCGUAACUGACGCUGAGGAGCGAAAGCAUGGGGAGCGAACAGG